UACGCCAAUUCUGUUUCAAAACUUUCUUAAACGGAAGCAAAUGGAACGGAGCGCGACCUACAUUGAAUUUGUCCAAUAUAAAAUCUCGGGUUUGUUGCAAAAAGAAACUGUUUGCAACCGUUUGGACUAAUUAUUACCCUGGACUGGAAAAUACUGGGGACGCGCCUCAACAAGCAAGUGUUCACAAUCCGUCAAAAUCUCAGAUGCAAAACUGGGCAAGCUACGAUUUAUAACACGGUACAACAUGAGGUUGCAUUGACCCUGAUAGUACUACCCCAGUAGCCUAGCACGAGGUGAAGGCUGGGUCACAGUGGUCAGUAACCCAGCUAGAAGGCUUUGCUCCAGGCUAGCCAGCCUGCCAGCAGAGGGAGGGGGCCUUGCCACGGAACGGCCUGGUGAGCUGCAGAGACUAGCAGCGGCGGGAGGGUUGUGAUGAGCGGGAAGAGCCUGCUGUUAAAGGUGAUCCUGCUGGGGGACGGUGGCGUGGGGAAAUCUUCCUUAAUGAACCGCUACGUCACGGACCGCUUCGACGCCCAGUCCUUCCACACCAUCGGGGUGGAGUUCCUCAACAGAGACCUGGAGGUCAGAUUAGAGCCCUUUCUGAAUUCAUCUUUUCUUCAUUCGUGGCAUUAUAUCCCCUUGCCUUCUUCUCAAAAUGUAAAAUGAGGGGAGGGACCUUGGACUUUCUCCAAUAAGAUUGAGGAGGCGGCGAGGAGAUAGAGCCAAGGUGGACGGGCGCCUGGUGACCCUUCAGAUCUGGGACACGGCGGGUCAGGAGCGCUUCAAGUCCCUGAGGACGCCGUUCUACCGUGGCGCCGACUGCUGCCUCCUCACCUUCGCUGUAGACGACCUACACAGCUUCCAGAACCUGGCCAGCUGGAAGAAAGAGUUCAUGUUUUACUCUGACGUACGAGACCCAGAGAGGUUCCCCUUCGUUGUCCUGGGCAACAAGGUGGACAAGGAGGAGGGGAAGGAGGUGGGGGAGGAUGAGGCUCGGGCCUGGUGCGAGGAGAAUGGCUGUUGUCCCUACUUCGAGACCAGUGCUAAGGACGAUACUAACGUGGGAGUGGCAUUCGAGGCAGCGGUACGGGAGGUUCUGGCGGCGGAGGAUCAGAUCGACCACACGCUGUUGAGUAGCACUAUCGAUCUCCACGGCAACCGUAAAGUACCGCGCUCUUCUUGCUGCUGAUUGGUUGAAAGGACUGGUUUCUCUCUCCGUCCAGCCUGUAGCAUCCUGAGGGCCAGAGAGCUGUUCUGCUCUCCACUGAUCUCUAUGGUUACUUACCUGAUGCAGGUACAAGCUGCUGAGACUGAUGAUCGGGUAUCAAUAUACCCGAUCAUGAUGAUCGGCUAUCAAUGCAGCUGAUUUUAAAGAGUGUUGGGUUGUCGGUAUCGACACAUCUGAUUUUUAAAGUUUAUCAAUGAGGUACAAUGUAACAGGUACACCAUGUUGUUCAACUCGGUCUGCUUUCAGCAGUAUAGCACAAAACUGCUCUUUACAUCCAGCCAGCUUCAUGUACCUGCCCUGUGUAAUGUUUUCAGCAUUUUUUUGUUCUUUUUUAUUUAACCAGGCAAGUCAGUUAUGAACAAAUUCUUAUUUUCAAUGACGGCCUAGGAACUGCCUGUUCAGGGGCAGAACGACAGAUUUGUACCAUGUCAGCUUGGGGAUUUGAACUUGCAAAUCCCCCAAGUCCAAUGCUCUAACAACUAGGCUACCCUAGCAUUUUAAUCUGAUAAUAUUCAUGUGUCCUUUCUGUUCUCCUCUCCAAGAGCACAGGCUGCUUGUGGCACAGCAACAUUCUCAUUCAUUUUUCUGUCUGUCUGCUAAGUCUUCUAAGGUCUCAUAGGUACUUUGACCAGAACACGAUUCUAUCACACUGUCAGGUCUCAUGACAGUGGUUGGCUGACUGACCAGAGGAAUAUCAUUUAAUAUAAUACAUAUAGACAUGGUGUGUUGACUGACCAGUGGAAUAUCAUUUAAUAUAAUACAUAUAGACAUGGUGUGUUGACUGACUGACCAGUGGAAUAUCAUUUAAUAUAAUACAUAUAGACAUGGUGUGUUGACUGACCAGUGGAAUAUCAUUUAAUAUAAUACAUAUAGACAUGGUGUGUUGACUGACUGACCAGUGGAAUAUCAUUUAAUAUAUAUAGACAUGGUGUGUUGACUGACUGACCAGUGGAAUAUCAUUUAAUAUAAUACAUAUAGACAUGGUGUGUUGACUGACCAGUGGAAUAUCAUUUAAUAUAAUACAUAUAGACAUGGUGUGUUGACUGACUGACCAGUGGAAUAUCAUUUAAUAUAUAUAGACAUGGUGUGUUGACUGACCAGUGGAAUAUCAUUUAAUAUAAUACAUAUAGACAUGGUGUGUUGACUGACUGACCAGUGGAAUAUCAUUUAAUAUAUAUAGACAUGGUGUGUUGACUGACUGACCAGUGGAAUAUCAUUUAAUAUAAUACAUAUAGACAUGGUGUGUUGACUGACUGACCAGAGGAAUAUCAUUUAAUAUAUAUAGACAUGGUGUGUUGACUGACUGACCAGUGGAAUAUCAUUUAAUAUAAUACAUAUAGACAUGGUGUGUUGACUGACCAGUGGAAUAUCAUUUAAUAUAAUACAUAUAGACAUGGUGUGUUGACUGACUGACCAGUGGAAUAUCAUUUAAUAUAUAUAGACAUGGUGUGUUGACUGACCAGUGGAAUAUCAUGUAAUAUAAUACAUAUAGACAUGGUGUGUUGACUGACUGACCAGUGGAAUAUCAUUUAAUAUAUAUAGACAUGGUGUGUUGACUGACUGACCAGUGGAAUAUCAUUUAAUAUAAUACAUAUAGACAUGGUGUGUUGACUGACUGACCAGUGGAAUAUCAUUUAAUAUAUAUAGACAUGGUGUGUUGACUGACCAGUGGAAUAUCAUUUAAUAUAAUACAUAUAGACAUGGUGUGUUGACUGACCAGUGGAAUAUCAUUUAAUAUAAUACAUAUAGACAUGGUGUGUUGACUGACCAGAGGAAAAUAAUUUAAUAUAAUACAUAUAGACAUGGUGUGUUGACUGACCAGUGGAAUAUCAUUUAAUAUAAUACAUAUAGACAUGGUGUGUUGACUGACCAGUGGAAUAUCAUUUAAUAUAAUACAUAUAGACAUGGUGUGUUGACUGACCAGUGGAAUAUCAUUUAAUAUAAUACAUAUAGACAUGGUGUGUUAACUGACCAGAGGAAAAUCAUUUAAUACACUGACAUAGACCUCUACAUGAAGCUGGACUUGAUCCAGUCACAUCUUGUUUAAGAACUGACAACAUGGAUUGCACACAUUACUGUACCAGGACAAAUGUUUACUGCACAAAAAGGGAUUUGAUUUGUUAGAUUUUCUCCCAAGGGAAAGAUGUAUCUGUUGAACACUGGGUACAUAUCUGUUGAACACUGGGUACAUAUCUGUUGAACACUGGGUACAUAUCUGUUGAACACUGUGUACAUAUCUAUCUGAGGUAGUUGGUAUCUAUACCAGAUGCGACAGUAUUUCCUCGUCCUUUCUAGGCCUGUCUGAAUCAGAGGUGUUAUGUCUACGUGUGAGAGUUGCAGGAGACGCCUGUUUUAAUUUCAUCCCUUACCUACUACGGUACGUACAGUUGAAGUUUACAUACACUUAGGUUGGAGUUAUUAAACCUCGUUUUUCAACCACUCCACAAAUUUCUUGUUAACAAAGUUUUACCUACUACGGUACAUACCAUUUUUUAGUCGGUCUCUCUUGACACCAAUGAUAUAAUGUUCUUAAUCAAUAAAGUGUUUUCCUUUAUAGAUGUAACAGUUCUUUUGUUUGGCUUAUGGCUGAUCCCCUUUUUCUUUUCAGUAGUUCAUUGAGGUUCUGAUAUUUACUGUGGGUUUUCUACCAUCUACAGUGGCUUGCGAUAGUAUUCACCCCCUUUGGCAUUUUUCCUAUUUUGUUGCCUUACAACCUGGGUUAUCAUUUUAUUUACCCAACAUGCUAAAUAUUUUUUUUGUAAAAAAACAAGAAAUAAGACAACUUGAGCAUAACUAUUAACCCCCAAAGUCAAUACUUUGCAGCAAUUAUACCCCAAGAGACACGCAGCUAUGUCUCUAUAAGCUUGGCACAUCGAGCCACUGGGAUUUUGCCCAUUCUUCAAGGCAAAACUGCUCCAGCUCCUUCAAGUUGGAUGGGUUCCGCUUGUGUACAGCAAAGUCAUGCCACAGAUCUCAAUUGGAUUGAGGUCUGGGCUUUGACUAGGCCAUUCCAAGACAUUUAAAUGUUUCCCCUUAAACAACGUGUUGCUUUAGCAGUAUGAUUUGGGUCAUUGUUCUGCUGGAAGGUGAACCUCCAUCCCAGUCUCAAAUCUCUGAAAGACUGAAACAGGUUUCCCUCAAGAAUUUUCCUGUAUUUAGCGCCAUCCAUCAUUCCUUCAAUUCUGACCAGUUUCCCAGUCCCUGCCGAUGACAAACAUCCCCACAGCAUGAUGCUGCCACCACCAUGCUUCACUGUCGGGGUGGUGAGAGGCUAGGUUUGCGCCCGACAAAGUGUUUUCCUUGAUGGCCAAAAAGCACAAUUUUAGUCUAAUCUGACCAGAGUACCUUCCAUAUGUGUGGGGAGUCUCCCACAUGCCUUUUGGCAAACACCAAAAGUGUUUGCUUAUUAUUUUCUGGCCAGUCUUCCAUAAAGCCCAGCUCUGUGGAGUGUACGGCUUAAAGUGGUCCUAUGGACAGAUACUCCCAUCUCUUCCGUAAAGCCCGGCUCUGUGGAGGGUACGGCUUAAAGUGGUCCUAUGGACAGAUACUCCCAUCUCUUCCGUAAAGCCCGGCUCUGUGGAGUGUACGGCUUAAAGUGGUCCUAUGGACAGAUACUCCCAUCUCUUCCGUAAAGCCCGGCUCUGUGGAGUGUACGGCUUAAAGUGGUCCUAUGGACAGAUACUCCCAUCUCUUCCGUAAAGCCCAGCUCUGUGGAGUGUACGGCUUAAAGUGGUCCUAUGGACAGAUACUCCCAUCUCUUCCGUAAAGCCCGGCUCUGUGGAGUGUACGGCUUAAAGUGGUCCUAUGGACAGAUACUCCCAUCUCUUCCAUAAAGCCCAGCUCUGUGGAGUGUACGGCUUAAAGUGGUCCUAUGGACAGAUACUCCCAUCUCUUCCGUAAAGCCCAGCUCUGUGGAGUGUACGGCUUAAAGUGGUCCUAUGGACAGAUACUCCAAUCUCCACUGUAGAGCUUUGCAGCUCCUUCAGGGUUAUCUAUGGUCUCUUUGUUGCCUCUGAUUAAUGCCCUACUUGCCUGGUCUGUGAGUUUUGGUGGGCGGCCCUCUAAAGGCAGGUUUGUUGUGGUACCAUAUUCUUUCCAUUUUUUAAUACUGGAUUUAAUGGUGCUCUGUGGGAUGUUCAAAGUUUGGGAUAUUUUUUUUAUAACACAACCCUGAUCUGUACUUCUUCACAACUUUGUCCCUGACCUGUUUGGAGAGCUCCUUGUUGUUCAUGGUGCCGCUUGCUUGGUGGUGUUGCAGACUCUGGGGCCUUUCGGAACAGGUGUGUAUAUAUACUGAGAUCAUGUGACUCUUAAAGUCCACCUGUGUGCAAUCUAUUGAACUAGGUUAUGUGACUUCUGAAGGUAAUUGGUUGCACCAGACCUUAUUUAGGGGCUUCAUAGUAACGUACACACCACUUUCUGCUUUAAAGUUUGUCAUUUGUUAAAACAAUAUUUUUUUCACUUCACCAAUUUGGACUAUUUUGUGUAUGUCCAUUACAUGAAAUCCAAAUAUAUUUACAUUACAGGUUAUAAUGCAGCAAAAUAGGAGAAAUGGAGGAUGAAUACUUUUGCAAGGCACUGUAACUUAUGUUUGGGUUGGUGUGUCACUAAGGAAGAGUGAUGGUUCUUCUCAGCCCUACUGCCUUGCCUGUCUACCGCAUGGGCCCUGCUCUAGAACACUGACAGUUCUGGAACAUUCUAGGUUCUAGAUAUAACCUUUAUAUUAUCUAGAACAUUGGUAGCUGUAGAGCAUUCCAGUCAGAGAACAUUCUAGACAGAAUAUAAGAACAUUCCAGUCCUUCAUCUAAUAUCAUAGCCACCUCUCUACUCCUGAUUUACCCAGUUGAUUCGUCUUAUUUGAAUGUGAAACAACCUGAACGGACAGAAAAAUAAUUGUACCUUUUUAAUGUACCGAUAUUGCAUUUUCUCCCGUAGGUAUUGAUAAGAGGGAAACAUAAGUGAGGAUUAUCUUAAGUAUUAUUUUUGGGUACUUUAGUUUGUUAUUUUACAUCAGUGGUGACCUAUGCUGGCCUGCCCUCACUGGAUUUCAACGCUGUAGUCAAAAUGAAAAGGAUCAUUUUGAAACAUUUGAGGACCUUAUUUAGUCAUUAUUUGAAGGAAAAUAGCAUUACUGAUGUUUAUACAAUACUUCUGAUGCCUGAAGCCACAGUUGACACUUCAGUUGUCUGUUUCCAGUAUUUGACCUAGUCGUCAACAUGGUACCGUUGCUAUGCCUACCACAUUAAUCAACCAAUGCGGUGUUGCAUUACUACUACAGUACAUCGUUAUUUUAUUUGCAUGCAUGUGAAAUUCACUGAUUCAACUUACAUGUCUUUAUCUUUUAAAGUUAUGUUUGUGUGCAGUACUAAUCUACAGGAAGUCAUCUGCCUCUCGAUUCAAAUGAAAUGACUGUCUGGUACAGCAGAGGGGUCCACUGUGAAAGAACCAGCCGCACUGCGUUAUGUUGACACUGACGUCGCGGUACACCCGUAUCUAUUGAAGAUGUUGAUUGUCAAUUUACUCAACCUGUGGUAUUUAGAGAAACAGUACAACAAGUACAGUUGGAAUGUUCUGUAACAAAGUCUUAAGAUGAAAAAAACAUGUAUUUUACCCAAUAGAAAGAGGGCUGGGCGUCUAUUACGAGACAUCACAUUCCACUGCUAUGGCAACUAUAUUCCAUCUGUCAAACUCUUAACAUACAGUCCUCCUCACCAUCUAGUCUUGUCUCACUCCCACUAACUAAUGUUGAUGACCUGUUUUUGUUUUUAAUCUAUAUGUUGAAUAAGAAAUGUACACAGUAAUGUUUACUUUGGGCUUGCCGCAGUGCACAAAGACAUGGCUACACGUGCAUUCGUUUCAUUCCUGAAAUAACUGUACAAUCAAUGAAAUCCUCAAUACUACUGUACGAACUGACUAAAAUAUCAUUUAACCUCACCUAAGUGUUUGUUAGCCUGCUUUGAGCUGAGUAAGAGGUGUAUAACUGACUAUCAUAGAGUUGAUGUAGGAAUAUAACUGUAUAUCUGCAGAUUUGCUUGUAACUCCAAUAUCAAACCUUCCUUAACCUCUUCAUUGCCCUAUGGAUGUUAAGACUGUCCCUUUACAGUCCCGCGUCCCAAAUGGCACCCUAUGUAUAUAGUUCAGAGCCCUAUGGCCCCUGGUUAAAAUGAUGGCACUAUAUAGGGAAUCAGCCCUAUGGCCCCUGGUUAAAAUGAUGGCACUAUAUAGGGAAUCAGCCCUAUGGCCCCUGGUUAAAAUGAUGGCACUAUAUAGGGAAUCAGCCCUAUGGCCCCUGGUUAAAAUGAUGGCACUAUAUAGGGAAUCAGCCCUAUGGCCCCUGGUUAAAAUGAUGGCACUAUAUAGGGAAUCAGCCCUAUGGCCCCUGGUUAAAAUGAUGGCACUAUAUAGGGAAUCAGCCCUAUGGCCCCUGGUUAAAAUGAUGGCACUAUAUAGGGAAUCGGUUGCCAUAUGGGAUGCAGAAAGACUGAUGUAGGUGUGAAUACUAUCCAAUGUACGACAACUAAUAAAACCAAAAACAUGCAACAUA